rnacentral:rRNA from 1 species
ACACCGGCAGCCCAAGUGGCGGCCAUUUUUAUUGGGCCUAAAGCGUUCGUAGCCGGUCUGAUAAGUCUCUGGUGAAAUCCCGCAGCUUAACUGUGGGAAUUGCUGGAGAUACUAUCAUGACUCGAGGUCGGGAGAGGCUGGAGGUACUCCCAGGGUAGGGGUGAAAUCCUGUAAUCCUGGGAGGACCACCUGUGGCGAAGGCGUCCAGCUGGAACGAACCUGACGGUGAGGGACGAAAGCCAGGGGCGCGAACCGGAUUAGAUACCCGGGUAGUCCUGGCCGUAAACGAUGUGGACUUGGUGUUGGGAUGGCUUCGAGCUGCCCCAGUGCCGAAGGGAAGCUGUUAAGUCCACCGCCUGGGAAGUACGGCCGCAAGGCUGAAACUUAAAGGAAUUGGCGGGG